rnacentral:lncRNA from 1 species
UGGAGUCGCCCGCCUCGAGCCAGCCCGCCAGCAUGCCCCAGUCCAAAGAAAAUCCAAGAGGAAGAAGGAUCUACGGAUAUCCUGCAUGUCCAAGCCACCCGCACCCAACCCCACCCCCCCCGGAACCUGGACUCCCGGACCUUCAUCACCAUUGGAGACAGAACUUUGAGGUGGAGGCUGAUGACUUGGUGACCAUCUCAGAACUGGGCCGUGGAGCCUAUGGGGUGGUAGAGAAGGUGCGGCACGCCCAGAGCGGCACCAUCAUGGCCGUGAAGGGAUCCGGGCCACCGUGAACUCACAGGAGCAGAAGCGGCUGCUCAUGGACCUGGACAUCAACAUGCGCACGGUCGACUGUUUCUACACUGUCACCUUCUACGGGGCACUAUUCAGAGAGGAGACGUGUGGAUCUGCAUGGAGCUCAUGGACACAUCCUUGGACAAGUUCUACCGGAAGGUGCUGGAUAAAAACAUGACAAUUCCAGAGGACAUCCUUGGGGAGAUUGCUGUGUCUUCGUGCGGGCCCUGGAGCAUCUGCACAGCAAGCUGUCGGUGAUCCACAGAGUGUGAAGCCCUCCAAUGUCCUUAUCAACAAGGAGGGCCAUGUGAAGAUGUGUGACUUUGGCAUCAGUGGCUACUUGGUGGACUCUGUGGCCAAGACGAUGGAUGCCGGCUGCAAGCCCUACAUGGCCCUGAGAGGAUCAACCCAGAGCUGAACCAGAAGGGCUACAAUGUCAAGUCCGACGUCUGGAGCCUGGGCAUCACCAUGUUGAGAUGGCCAUCCUGCGGUUCCCUUACGAGUCCUGGGGGACCCCGUUCCAGCAGCUGAAGCAGGUGGUGGAGGAGCCGUCCCCCCAGCUCCCAGCCGACCGUUUCUCCCCCGAGUUUGUGGACUUCACUGCUCAGUGCUGAGGAAGAACCCCGCAGAGCGUAUGAGCUACCUGGAGCUGAUGAGCACCCCUUCUUCACCUUGCACAAAACCAAGAAGACGGACAUUGCUGCCUUCGUGAAGGAGAUCCUGGGAGAAGACUCA